UUUUCUUUUCUCUGCGUGAUUGUGAGAUGAGCAACAGCAUAACUUUGUAUAAAUCGUCAGAGAGGACUGAAUAAGAGACAUUUAUGAUACAUUUUCUUUGGAUUUGGUCAGGUCAUUAUUCUACGCUGGAACUGCGUUCAUUUCAGCGUUAUGAUCUACAGUAAGAUGGCGAGCCUUCCCAGCGAGAUGAAGUCGAUUGAUGUGUGAUUUGAUUUGAUCCAACACCGUGGAAUUCGGUAGGAAUGCUCUGAUUGCCUGCUAGCUUUUUUCCUAAACGGGACCGAACUUUAUUUUGGAAAGUAUUUUGUUUUCCGGUGAAAAAAGAUCUCUGGAACUGUUGAAUCACUUUUCCGCGGUUCAAAGGACCUUUGGACUUUUCGAACUGAAUCAACGGAUCGAAUCUUUUAAAUCAAAUUCGUCUUAACCGAUUUGAAGUGAACUUUUCCAAUUCAACCUUUGUGAACU